rnacentral:rRNA from 1 species
AGGUUACUGCUAUCGGUGUUCGCCUAAGCCAUGCGAGUCAUAUGUUCUUCGUGAACAUGGCGUACUGCUCAGUAACACGUGGAUAACCUGCCCUUGGGUCCGGCAUAACCCCGGGAAACUGGGGAUAAUUCCGGAUAACGCACAUAUGCUGGAAUGCUUUAUGCGUCAAAUGGAUUCGUCCGCCCAAGGAUGGGUCUGCGGCCUAUCAGGUAGUAGUGGGUGUAAUGUACCUACUAGCCUACGACGGGUACGGGUUGUGAGAGCAAGAGCCCGGAGAUGGAUUCUGAGACAUGAAUCCAGGCCCUACGGGGCGCAGCAGGCGCGAAAACUUUACAAUGCGGGAAACCGUGAUAAGGGGACACCGAGUGCCAGCAUCAUAUGCUGGCUGUCCGGGUGUGUAAAAUACACCUGUUAGCAAGGGCCGGGCAAGACCGGUGCCAGCCGCCGCGGUAACACCGGCGGCCCGAGUGGUGAUCGUGAUUAUUGGGUCUAAAGGGUCCGUAGCCGGUUUGGUCAGUCCUCCGGGAAAUCUGACGGCUUAACCGUUAGGCUUUCGGGGGAUACUGCCAGACUUGGAACCGGGAGAGGUAAGAGGUACUACAGGGGUAGGAGUGAAAUCUUGUAAUCCCUGUGGGACCACCUGUGGCGAAGGCGUCUUACCAGAACGGGUUCGACGGUGAGGGACGAAAGCUGGGGGCACGAACCGGAUUAGAUACCCGGGUAGUCCCAGCCGUAAACGAUGCUCGCUAGGUGUCAGGCAUGGCGCGACCGUGUCUGGUGCCGCAGGGAAGCCGUGAAGCGAGCCACCUGGGAAGUACGACCGCAAGGUUGAAACUUAA